rnacentral:rRNA from 1 species
UACGAAGGGUGCAAGGCGUUACUCGGAAUUACUGGGCGUAAAGCGUGCGUAGGUGGUGAGUUAAGUCUGUCGUGAAAGCCCCCGGGCUCAACCUGGGGAAUGGCGAUGGAUACUGGCUCGCUAGAGUGCGGUAGAGGAGAGUGGAAUUCCCGGUGUAGCAGUGAAAUGCGUAGAGAUCGGGGAGGAACAUCAGUUGCGAAGGCGGCUCUCUGGACCAGCACUGACACUGAGGCACGAAAGCGUGGGGAGCAAACAGG